UAAAAAUAUCUAGGAAUGCGA
ensembl:piRNA 21ur-877 ncRNA